rnacentral:rRNA from 1 species
ACUCCUACGGGAGGCAGCAGUAGGGAAUUUUCCGCAAUGGACGAAAGUCUGACGGAGCAAUGCCGCGUGAGUGAUGAAGGUUUUCGAAUUGUAAAGCUCUGUUGUAAGGGAAGAAUAGCAAGAUAGGAAAUAUUCUUGNCUGACGGUACCUUACCAGAAAGCCACGGCUAACUACGUGCCAGCAGCCGCGGUAAUACGUAGGUGGCAAGCGUUAUCCGGAAUUAUUGGGCGUAAAGCGCAUGUAGGCGGCUUUUUAAGUCUGAUGUGAAAG